rfam:Danio rerio chromosome 3, GRCz11 reference primary assembly.
AAACACAGCCAUAUCACCCUGCCCAAAACCACUUACUUACUGAAGCUAAGCAGGGCUGAGCCUGGUCAGUACCUGGAUGGGAGACCACAUGGAAAUUCUAGGCUGCUGUUGGAA